GACCGACAGGGAGAGAGCGCUACAUCGGUGGAAAAGAGGCGAUUCCUCUGUAGUUCAUGGCGAUUCCGAGCUUAUCCAGUGCUCGAGCUUGAUUGCCUCUCUGGUGCUCUGUGGUUUCAGUUGGUUGUCUCACCCCUUUCUCCGUUGGAUUUCACGUUUCGGUGCUCAUGCCCCCUUCUAGAUCUGGUGAUCUUUGCUUUGAUUCCUCUGGUGUUUGAUGAAGAUGAGCUGUUGCGAUGGAUUGGCCUAGGAUUUUUCUGUUGCAGAUGUAUUGAUGGUGCAUCAGAGGUGAAAUUCACUAGGCAUGGGAAGAUGAGUUGAAAAUCAAGCUACUAUUAACAUAUCAGGUGCUUAGAUAUGUGUGCAUUUUCCAGUAUGUUAUUUGCAGUCAAUUUGGACUGAUUAUACUGUAUUUUUUAAGUGUAAUUACAAGUGUUUUUUAAUUGUAAUUACAAGUGUUUUCUAAUUGUAAUUACACUGGAAUUUUCUGUGUAAUUACAGAAGGGAUUUCAGUGCAUGUUCAAAGUAAUCACAGUGUAUGUUACAGUGAAUUACAGUGCGUUUCCAGUGUAA